GUCCUCGUGAUGUAGUGGUUAGCACUUUGAACUUUGAAUGCGGCAACACGAGUUCGUGUCUCUACGAGGCC
rnacentral:tRNA from 11 species